rnacentral:rRNA from 1 species
AGUGAACGCUGGCGGUAGGCCUAACACAUGCAAGUCGAACGGCAGCACAGUAAGAGCUUGCUCUUACGGGUGGCGAGUGGCGGACGGGUGAGGAAUACAUCGGAAUCUACUUUUUCGUGGGGGAUAACGUAGGGAAACUUACGCUAAUACCGCAUACGACCUACGGGUGAAAGCAGGGGAUAUUCGGACCUUGCGCGAUUGAAUGAGCCGAUGUCGGAUUAGCUAGUUGGCGGGGUAAAGGCCCACCAAGGCGACGAUCCGUAGCUGGUCUGAGAGGAUGAUCGGCCACACUGGAACUGAGACACGGUCCAGACUCCUACGGGAGGCAGCAGUGGGGAAUAUUCGACAAUGGGCGCAAGCCUGAUGCAGCCAUGCCGCGUGAGUGAUGAAGGCCUUCGGGUUGUAAAGCCCUUUUGUUGGGAAAGAAAAGCAGCAUGUGAAUAUCCCGCUGUUCUGACGGUACCCAAAGAGUAAGCACCGGCUAACUUCGUG